GCAAACUUCAGGACAUAGUGAAGGACACAGGAGGCUGGCGUGCUGCAGUCUAUGGAGUGGCCAAGAGUCAGAUACGACUUAGUGACUGAACAACAGCAAGACUCUCACAUACAUGGAAUCAACUGCAUGUUCUCUUCUCUUCCGCGUGGUGUUGGGCUUCAUCCACCGCUGUGCGGGUGUCAGCCCUUUACUGCCUCCUCCGAGCAGUGCUGUAUUGUACAGACUGCAGUUAGUCCAUCCAUUCUCCUGUGGAUGGACGUGUGGGCUGUUUCCAGUUCUCUCUUAUGAUAAAUAAAGCUCUGUGAACAUUCAUGUGCAAGUAACUGAGUACACACAAGUGUUCAUUUCUCUUGGGUAGAUAUCCAGGAGUGAAAUUAAUGAGUCAUGGUUGCAGUGGGCAUAGCAUUUCCCCUCCUACCAACAGUGGAAGGGAGUGCUGGCAUCAUCAGACCUCUAUUUUUUGCAGUCUGGUGGCUCUGCUCUGACGUGUCAGUGUGGCUCCAGUUUGUAUUUCCCCAAUGGUUUAUGAUAAUGAGAACUUCUUUUGAGUUCUUACUGGCCAUUGAUAGAGAUACGUUUUUGACCACAGCUUUUAAAAACUGAUAUGUGUUUCUCUUCCUUAAUAAGCACUAUAACUUGUUAAACAGGCAUUUACCACAUGAAUUGAAUUUUUUGCUCAUCUUUCAGUGACGAUUAUCAAAGAUAGAUGGAUAGGAAUUGAUCUUUGACAAGGAGCAAAGUCGUGUGUUUUCAUCCAGUUAUUCCGAAUUCCCACUCUCUGGGUUUCUGGCCAGUGCUGGGUGUAUGAUGCUCUUUCUUUCUAUUUUUUUUGGCCACACUGUGUGGCUCAUAGGCUCUUGGUUCCCUGAGCAGGGGUUGAACCUGCACCGUCUGCACGGGAAGUGAAGAGUCUUAACCACUGGGCCUCCAGAGAAGUCUCUGUAUGAUGUUCUUGAAGAGAGUUCUGAUACAUCAUAGGACUGAGAGGACCCCUCUGCCCGGAAGCUCACACAGGUGUGUUGGGGGAGGGAGCAGAAGUGCAGAGACUGCUGCUGAGAAGAGGGAGGAAAUGACGCACAGCCUCGAGAGAUGGAUUCUUGCCUCCUGGAGAAUCGUGGCACCAGAGAACUUUCUUUCAGUUUCAGGUGCUGCUUUCGCUGCAGACCGAGACCCUCCUGGCCCACACCGCCGGCAGCCACGGCAGCUCGCAGGCACAUGGAAUCGGGGUCCCUCACCCUGAAGCUUUCCGAGCUGAGCGUCCCGCACCUUGCAGGCCCUUGUCUGGGCACCUUACACUCACGCUUCUCUUUGGGCACCUUUUCGCUUUCUCAGUUGAAUGAAGCAGUGCAUGUGUUGUUUUUUUUUUGUUGUUGUUGUUGUUUUUAAUCUCAAUAAAAUUCCCAAACGGUGCCGUCAGACUCAGCAAGAGGUGCUAUGGGAACCCACCCAACCCACCAGCGGGAGGAGAACUGCGGAAGAAAAGGACUUGACUUGUUCCCAGGGGCGAGCGCUACGAUGCACGGCCAUUUUGGUCAGCACUGGCUGGUAUGUGUAUCCCAGUCUGUCUGCUGUCAAGGGCAUCCUCCCAGCGAAUGAACUCGUGGUUGUGAAGUGACCAUCACGCCCCCUCGCCCCAAGGCAUGGCCAAGGCAUCGGACCUUCACACAGGUGGCUCAGUGGUAAAGAAUCUGCCUGCGAAGCAGCAGACGCUGGAGACGCCGGUUCCAUCCCUGGGUCAGGAAGAUCCCUUGGAGGAGGAAAUGGCAGCCCAGUCAGGUAUUCUUGCCCGGAGAAUCCCAUGGAUGGAGGAACCUGGCAGGAAGGCAGUGGCGCGCCGAAGGAUAAAUUACAGUCACUGGGGUCGCAAAGAGCUGGCCACGACUUAGUGACCAAACCACCACCACCAUCUAUGGUCUCUGGUCGUGACUAAGAAAAGUGGACACGAUCUAGACAGAAGCAGCGCUUCCGCUAGUCCUGCAGAAGUGCAGGCAGAUGUCCUCCACAUGGUGGAUGGGCUGAGCGUCUGCAGGUGAAGGCGCUGUGCCCACCCCGCCUGUCAUUCUGAAACCGUCAUGACCUGGGGGCUUCUCAGAGCCGAUGCACCAGAUGUUCUUCAAGAAAACACCAGCAUGGGAAACUCAAUUAAAAACCACCCGAGUGAAUCUGGAAAUGGUAAGCAGCGACUCAACGGAGGUCCAGGCUACUGUUAUCCAUCUUUUUUCACACUACAUACCAACUUUUGGAAGCUCCGGUUUUAUGGUGUAACCCGCCAUGCCCGUGAGAGCAGCGGCCUGUGUCACCUCGUACGUGUACGGGGGCCUUGAAAUAACUGUGAAAGUGAAAAGCGAAAGUGAAAGUCGCUCAGCUGUGUCCGACUCUUGGCCACCAUGGAAUUCACCAUGGACUCUACCGUCCACGGAAUUCUCCAGGCUGGAAUACUGGAGUGGGUAGCCCUUCCCUUCUCCAGGGGAUCUUCCCAACCCAGUGGAAACUAGCAAACAUCUCAGACAAAUAAACAGAUUAACCUGACAAAACAGCAUUCACCACAGCCUUCGGCAGCAGUGGCUGAGAAGCCAGGCAGAGCCCUUGUCUCACCGCACCGAAGGCCAAAUUACAGUCACGGGACAAAUGGCUGUGACGUGACACGGCUUCGAGACACCCUCCUCUGGUGUACCGCCUCCUUCUCCGGCUGUCCGAUGUGGGGUCCGAUGUGUUGACAAGCGUGGCCACUUCACGUGCCCGGCGUGGGAACUGGAAUUGCGGCCAAGUCCAGCCCCAAGCUUUCCUCUGCGUGAGAGCACCCAUGACGUCAAGUGACUCGCAGAGGACACACCUGUCCACCGUGUCCCCGCGUGAGAUGCUGGUGAGUUCAGCGCGAGAUGAGAGCGCCGGUCCUUCCGAGUGUGCCCGACAGCGCCAGACAACCUGAAGCGAUGCUGAGUGCGAUUUUAAAAAGUACUAACAGAAAAAACGAAGUCAUUUCUUUGU